rnacentral:misc_RNA from 1 species
ACCUAAUUCUUGCAAUUCAGUGUAUUUCCUGGCGAGAGGCAGAGAUGAACAACCCUGGACAGUUACCACAUAUGGCUCUUAUGAGUAUAGACAAAAUGACCUACGAAUCAAGCAUUUUGUUCCACGGUCUCUACUGUUAGCUGCAUGUCUCAGAAACAGCUUCUUUCUCAAGAGAGAACAAGAGGGAUAAUGCUGGAUCUAAAGGCAUCAUCUGAAGAAGACAAAGAUAUCAACAAUCGCAACUAUUUGGCUUUCUGUCCAUCACUGAGACUUUUCAUAAUCUUCCCUUCAUAAAUAGGAUCUCUUGAUCAGAACAGAAAAGUUGAGUCUUAAAUUUCCUGUAUUUAUUUCUGACUGAUACUGAGGGAAGUGCAAAUUUGGUUGCUAUGAUUAAACUCCUUGAUUGUUCUU